rnacentral:rRNA from 1 species
CGAUUGAGUUUGAUCCUGGCUCAAGACGAACGCUGGCGGCGUGCCUAAUACAUGCAAGUCGAGCGAGCUUGCCUAGAUGAUUUUAGUGCUUGCACUAAAUGAAACUAGAUACAAGCGAGCGGCGGACGGGUGAGUAACACGUGGGUAACCUGCCCAAGAGACUGGGAUAACACCUGGAAACAGAUGCUAAUACCGGAUAACAACACUAGACGCAUGUCUAGAGUUUGAAAGAUGGUUCUGCUAUCACUCUUGGAUGGACCUGCGGUGCAUUAGCUAGUUGGUAAGGUAACGGCUUACCAAGGCAAUGAUGCAUAGCCGAGUUGAGAGACUGAUCGGCCACAUUGGGACUGAGACACGGCCCAAACUCCUACGGGAGGCAGCAGUAGGGAAUCUUCCACAAUGGACGAAAGUCUGAUGGAGCAACGCCGCGUGAGUGAAGAAGGGUUUCGGCUCGUANAGCUCUGUUGGUAGUGAAGAAAGAUAGAGGUAGUAACUGGCCUUUAUUUGACGGUAAUUACUUAGAAAGUCACGGCUAACUACGUGCCAGCAGCCGCGGUAAUACGUAGGUGGCAAGCGUUGUCCGGAUUUAUUGGGCGUAAAGCGAGUGCANGGCGGUUCAUAAGUCUGAUGUGAAAGCCUUCGGCUCA